rnacentral:rRNA from 1 species
UAACGGCGAGUGAAGCGGCAAAAGCUCAAAUUUGAAAUCCUGCGGGAAUUGUAAUUUGAAGGUUUCGUGGUCUGAGUCGGCCGCGCCCAAGUCCAUUGGAACAUGGCGCCUGGGAGGGUGAGAGCCCCGUAUGGCGCACGCCGACUCUUUGCACCGCGGCUCCGACGAGUCGAGUUGUUUGGGAAUGCAGCUCUAAGUGGGUGGUAAAUUCCAUCUAAAGCUAAAUAUUGGCGAGAGACCGAUAGCGAACAAGUACAGUGAUGGAAAGAUGAAAAGCACUUUGAAAAGAGAGUGAAACAGCACGUGAAAUUGUUGAAAGGGAAGGGCUUGCAAGCAGACACGGUUUUACCGGGCCAGCGUCAAAWARRSGGGRGGRAMAAGGRSKAAAGAAUGUGGCGCGYGCCUUCGGGYKCGCGUGUUAUAGCUYUYKYURAYACCYCCAUGUYUGUUYGAGGCCUGCGAUUCUAGGACGCUGGCGUAAUGGUUGCAAGCCGCCCGUCUUGA